rnacentral:sRNA from 1 species
AGCAGCCGCGGUAAUUCCAGCUCCAAUAGCGUAUAUUAAAGUUGUUGCAGUUAAAAAGCUCAUAGUUGAAUUUCGGGAUCAGUUCGCUGGUCGUGCCUUGGUAUGUACUGGUGUUACUGGUUCCUACCUUCUGACGAACCGUCAUGUCAUUAAUUUGGUGUGGCGGGGAAUCAGGACUGUUACUUUGAAAAAAUUAGAGUGUUUAAAGCAGGCUCGCGCUUGAAUACAUUAGCAUGGAAUAAUGAAAUAGGACGUUCGAUCCUAUUUUGUUGGUUUCUAGGAUUGACGUAAUGAUUAAUAGGGAUAGUUGGGGGCAUUAGUAUUCAAUUGUCAGAGGUGAAAUUCUUGGAUUUAUUGAAGACUAACUACUGCGAAAGCAUUUGCCAAGGAUGUUUUCAUUAAUCAAGAACGAAAGUUAGGGGAUCGAAGACGAUCAGAUACCGUCGUAGUCUUAACCAUAAACUAUGCCGACUAGGGAUCGGAUGAUGUUAAUUUUUUAAUGAC